AGAGAGAUAGAGAGAGCCGCGACCGGCGCGUAGAAAUACGCGUCCGGUAUGAAUGGCCAGGCGCACGAUCAGGCAC